UACGUAGGCAGCGAGCGUUGUUCGGAGUUACUGGGCGUAAAGCGUGCGCAGGCGGUUGUGCAAGACAGAGGUGAAAUCCCCGGGCUUAACCUGGGAAUGGCCUUUGUGACUGCACGGCUAGAGUGUGUCAGAGGGGGGGUAGAAUUCCACGUGUAGCAGUGAAAUGCGUAGAGAUGUGGAGGAAUACCGAUGGCGAAGGCAGCCCCCCUGGGAUAACACUGACGCUCAUGCACGAAAGCGUGGGGAGCAAACAGG
rnacentral:rRNA from 1 species